rnacentral:rRNA from 1 species
GUAGUCCCGGCUGUAAACGCUGCCCACUUGGUGUUGCCCUUUCCUUGGGAAGGGGCAGUGCCGGAGCGAAGGUGUUAAGUGGGCUGCUUGGGGAGUAUGGUCGCAAGGCUGAAACUUAAAGGAAUUGGCGGGAGAGCACCGCAACGGGAGGAGCGUGCGGUUUAAUUGGAUUCAACGCCGGAAAACUCACCAGGGGAGACCAUGGUAUGAGUGUCAGCCUGAAGAGCUUACACGAUCACAUGGAGAGGUGGUGCAUGGCCGUCGUCAGCUCGUACCGUAGAGCGUUCACUUAAGUGUGAUAACGAGCGAGACCCUUGCCCAUAUUUGCCUCCUUCCUCGAGAGAGGAAGAGCACUAUAUGGGGACCGCUAGCGUUAAGCUAGAGGAAGGAGAGGUCAACGGCAGGUCAGUAUGCCCCGAAUCCCCUGGGCAACACGCGCGCUACAAAGGACGGAACAAUGGGUUGCAACUUCGAAAGGAGGAGCUAAUCCCGAAAUCCGUCCGUAGUUCAGACUGAGGGCUGUAAUUCGCCCUCACGAAGCUGGAUUCCGUAGUAAUCGCGGAUCAACAGUCCGCGGUGAAUAUGCCCCUGCUCUUUGCACACACCGCCUGUCAAGCCAUCCGAGUUGGUUUUGGAUGAGGGCCCACUUUUUGGUGGGUUCGAAUCCAAGAUCGAUGAGGAGGGCUAAGUCAUAACAAGGUAUCCGUAGGGGAACCUGCGGCUGGAUCACCUCC